AACGAUUCAGUCUGACUCUUCUCAGAGUGAACACUUGAACAAUGAAUCUUCAUUCAGUCAUUCUGCUCUGUGUCUCAUCUGCUGCUGUAUUUGUAAAUGUCAUCAAACCAAACAAAACAGAUGUUUUUGCUGAGGAGGGUUCAAGUGUUACAUUAUCCUGUAGUUUUUCUGCCUCUGGAGGUACAGAUUAUCUCCACUGGUACCGUCAGUAUGGAAGAUCAAAACCUGAAUUUCUUGUACUCACCUACAGUAGUAAAAAAGAACCUGUGACGUCUGAUGUAGAUCCAAGAUUCUCUGUUAAAGUUGAAAAAAAGGAACAAAAUCACGUGUAUCUGAUCACCUCCUCUGCUGCAGUAUCAGACUCUGCUCUGUAUUACUGUGCUCUG